rnacentral:rRNA from 1 species
CAUGCAGUCGAGCGGACAGAAGGGAGCUUGCUCCCGGAUGUUAGCGGCGGACGGGUGAGUAACACGUGGGUAACCUGCCUGUAAGACUGGGAUAACUCCGGGAAACCGGAGCUAAUACCGGAUAGUUCCUUGAACCGCAUGGUUCAAGGAUGAAAGACGGUUUCGGCUGUCACUUACAGAUGGACCCGCGGCGCAUUAGCUAGUUGGUGAGGUAACGGCUCACCAAGGCGACGAUGCGUAGCCGACCUGAGAGGGUGAUCGGCCACACUGGGACUGAGACACGGCCCAGACUCCUACGGGAGGCAGCAGUAGGGAAUCUUCCGCAAUGGACGAAAGUCUGACGGAGCAACGCCGCGUGAGUGAUGAAGGUUUUCGGAUCGUAAAGCUCUGUUGUUAGGGAAGAACAAGUGCAAGAGUAACUGCUUGCACCUUGACGGUACCUAACCAGAAAGCCACGGCUAACUACGUGCCAGCAGCCGCGGUAAUACGUAGGUGGCAAGCGUUGUCCGGAAUUAUUGGGCGUAAAGGGCUCGCAGGCGGUUUCUUAAGUCUGAUGUGAAAGCCCCCGGCUCAACCGGGGAGGGUCAUUGGAAACUGGGAAACUUGAGUGCAGAAGAGGAGAGUGGAAUUCCACGUGUAGCGGUGAAAUGCGUAGAGAUGUGGAGGAACACCAGUGGCGAAGGCGACUCUCUGGUCUGUAACUGACGCUGAGGAGCGAAAGCGUGGGGAGCGAACAGGAUUAGAUACCUUGGGUUAGUCCA